rnacentral:rRNA from 1 species
CAGUCGCCACGGUAAUGCGUAGGGUGCAAGCGUUAAUCGGAAUUACUGGGCGUAAAGCGUGCGCAGGCGGUUCGCUAAGACAGAUGUGAAAUCCCCGGGCUUAACCUGGGAACUGCAUUUGUGACUGGCGGGCUAGAGUAUGGCAGAGGGGGGUAGAAUUCCACGUGUAGCAGUGAAAUGCGUAGAGAUGUGGAGGAAUACCGAUGGCGAAGGCAGCCCCCUGGGCCAAUACUGACGCUCAUGCACGAAAGCGUGGGGAGCAAACAGGAUUAGAUACCCCUGUAGUCCCUGUCUCUUAUAC